rnacentral:sRNA from 1 species
ACGAAUGAGUAUAGGGCAAUCAGUACGAUGUCAACCAAGAAAUGAGCGGACAGCAAGAAAAUGACAAAUAUCAAUGGAUACAUUGUCUCCACCAUACUGUCCGAUACCAGGCAAGUCUUACCCUGAACGAAGACAGGCGGCUUUAGAGGAAUAAUCACUGUAUAUGAACCAUAUAACAACAAUACCGGCCAUGACGUAAGAACCGCAAAGAAAACAGAAAUGAAAACGAGGCUUCGUGCCAGCUCUACAGAAAUAGGGUCCUUGUGGAUUUUACAUAUUCUUAAGAAGCGAUCCGUUGCGAUAGCAACGAGGAUAAACGUUGAACCGCUGUUGAUGGAGGCCGACAAAAAUCGAGAAACCUUACACCACACUGGAAAAUCAAAAUUCAGGAAUCGGGAAAGCAACACUAUUUCCGUUGUCAGUGACGUCACACAAUUGAUGAAAUCGUACGAUCCAAGGGCCAAGAUGAACACACGAGACGUGUUGGCUCUCCAUUUCAAUGAGUACACAUAAAUCACCAUCAGGUUCCCUGGAAUUCCAACAAGGAGAAGAAAACUCACGUAAACAAGUGACGGUAACAACACUGACGUCAUGUAUUUGUCACUUACGUCAUCAAACAAAGGUCCAGAGGAAAUGAAGAUGGGUCUAUUCAAUUGACGUCCACUUCCAGAAAUAUUCCCAGUUGCAUUUAAAUAGACUGAAAUGUUACUAAAACGAUGGUCAAUUUCAUUUGUAUAAUUGGAGUCCAUUCCUGUGGUGUUAUCUAAAAUAUAUAAAGAUAUCACCUGCUGUU